ACAAACUUGGUCAUUUAGAGGAAGUAAAAGUCGUAACAAGGUUUCCGUAGGUGAACCUGCGGAAGGAUCAUUAACAAAAAUCAUCAAUUUUGAUGUACCCUUUUGUGCAAAUGUUUGUGAAUAUAUGUCGAAAAGAGUUUUUGGGAAACCAAAUCUCUUUUUUUGAUAUUUUUUUUAUUUACACCUUUUAAACAAAUGUUAUAAAUAAAAUAUUUUUAAAAUAAAAUACAACUUUCAACAACGGAUCUCUUGGCUCUCGCAUCGAUGAAGAACGCAGC
rnacentral:misc_RNA from 1 species